UAAUUAAUUAAAAGCUCAAGCACAGCAAUAGGAGGACCACUGCUCUUCAUCACCACCAGCAACAUCAGCAGCGUCCUCGUUGCCAUAGUAUAAACCACCAUUAUUCAAAGCAGUCAGUGAACAUGAUCCCACAAGGUAAGGCAUGUUGUGGAAGGAGCGAGCAAGGCUGCUAGCUAAUGCAGCAUUGCCCAUACCAUGAUCACUCUCGCAGCCAUCGUCACUGUCUUCGUCAUGGAGGCAAAGUUCUUCAGCACGGUGCUUGAGGGUCUCGAACAUGAGCUCAGGCUCGUGCUGCAUAACCCGGAG
rnacentral:misc_RNA from 1 species